CAGGCAAUGAUGAGACUAUGGUAGGAGAAGGUGACGACUUGGAUGCUACUGCAUCAUCUUCUCCUGUGCCUGAACCGAGUAUAGAUGAUGUAUCAGUGAACAAUUCAUCUAAAGAUGUAAAUGAAACUAGUGCAAAUGAUAAACCACCUGUAUGGGUUGAAUGGAGGGAGACACCAAAUUCCACUUCUUCUGAUUCCAACUUAUCUCUCAGGCCAAAUGGUGAGCUUCGAGUGGAUUCAGAGAUUCAGGGUGGUGAUGGUGGUCCUCAUGCUGCUAAACCUGUAUCUUCCUUGGAUACAUCGGUAGAUGACAGUAAUGCUGCUGGAAGACUGCCAAAUGCAACAAAUGAAAGCCCUACACCCAUUCUUCCUGAAUUAACAGAAGCAGGUAGUGAAAAUCCUAGUGUGGUCCAUGGUGAUUCUGAUGAUAAGACAACUGUAGAAACUGAAGUAACUGCUGUGGCCAGGAAAGAUGGACAAACAGCCAUGGUUAAUUAAGCAGAGAACUAAAUGUAAAUUCUUGAGAGUCUGUUUAUUACCUAACUGAUACACACUGCAGCAGCAACAUUUAUCAGGUGGGAAGAUGACUACUGAGAGCACUGUUGGUUGAUUAGGUGACUGUAUUUUAGAGCCUUCUGUGCAUCAUCGAUGGGCACUGUUGCUUAGCAAGGUUGAUUCUUUUUCUCACCUGCUGAUAUAGCUUGAGCUUGCUCUCUCUCUUCCGAAAGUGGUGAUGAAUAGGGUCUUGUUUUCCGCCUUUCCUAUCUGGUAAUCCAAUGCCUUUAUUAAUUAUUAGUUUCUAGCCUUCUACCUUCUAGCUUCGCCUUAGUAAUUGAUCUACAAACUGGAAUUGUCACCUGAUACUUGGACCCUUUUUUAGCACGAUUUAUAUCCAUAAAAUUUUUUCCUUUUCACAUGAAUGCCAAGGUGUUAAUCAUAGAAUCAUAUCCCAGAAUCCCUUUUAUGUUUCCCUGUUCACUUUUCAUCGUAAUGGAGAAGUUUGCAACAGUUUUACUCUCCAUAUUUAUGGUGGAAGAAUUUUCGGUCGAGGAAUUGUAUGAUUUUACCAUUUAUUUCUUUUUGCAAUGUUUCCCCUCUGAACUUGUUUAUUGCAUUCCAUACUUUUUACCUGCAAAAUUAUGAGAAAGUGCUGCAAAACUCUCAUCAUUUGAAUCAAAAUUUAGCUUUUUUAUGCACGUAUUAAAUGUGUGGUUUAGAAACAAUAGCCUCAACUUGCUUAAACUGCAACUGCAAUUGCAAUUACUCCACACUUAAUAUAUGUGAUCGGCCGAACCGAAGUUGGAUUCGGUUCUCGUCCUACAUGAUUCCAUAGAACUGAAGCAAUAAAAAUAUAGCAAGCCUCUAGUUUUAUACACGAAGGCAAAGCUUUGUAGAAUUAGAUGCUAAAGUUUAUCAUGGCAAUGGAAGUACUCAACAUGAGACAAUGAUAAGAUGAUUCCCAUUCAAUGAAAUAGCGAGAACCAGUGCGGCGUGAUGAUGAAUCAAGCGGUAGAAGUCAAUAUGAUUCUUUCUUUUUCUGUCCGCUCCUUCAAAUAUCUGUAACGCUUACCCUCCAAAAACAUUAUUUGCCUUAAUUACCCACAUUCCUUUCAUUUGGAGAUGUAGAUAUGCGCAACUUCGGCUAUAUCAUGAACACGUUAACUUGAUCUUCAUGGGAAGCCUUUAAUUUUUUUAUUGCUGGUAUUGUUCUCAUCUGGUCCACCAGCUGAAUCUGUCAUUCCGAUGUGACCAGAUGCUAUAUUCUACCUACUACGAGUGUAAAUGAGUUAAUUUUAGUCAAUUUUUGAAGAGAUCAAAUUUGAUUUAAAAUUUUGUUAAAUAAAUAUAUUCACGAGUUAUUUUAAUCCUAUUAAAUAAAUAAAUUUUAGAGUCUAAACAAAUCGAUAUCUAAUUUAGAGAAGUCGAUAUGUACAUGUUUAAAUUUGGAGAAAAUCACAUUUGAGUGAUAAUUUUAUACAAUUUGAUAAAGUAAUGGAAUUAUCCAAUCUAAGAGCUAUCCGUCUUUGAGAGUUUUCAACUAAAAAGUCUCGGUGCUCGUGAUGAUGCUACUAAAAUAAAUUUGCAGAUCAUUAUUUUAUUUGUAUAUAUUAUUAAUUAAUGAAAAUUCACUUAUUCCAAUAAUUUGCGUAAAUACUGGUAAAUUCAUUGAAAAAGUAAAAUAUUAUUUUUAAAAUUUUAAAAGUGCUCUAUAUUAAGUAUUUAAAAUCAAAAUAUCUUAUUAAGAGAAAAGAUUAUUCUAUUUAAUUUCUUAUUUAUACUUAUCCGUCUAUUGUUUUUUUAAAAAAAAAUUAUAUUACUCAACCCUCAAAUGGCUAAGAAGAAGUUGAUAAAGAUGAAUUGUAUUGCACACGGUGAAUCAUCCUAUGGAAAUUUGGUGACUAAACAACUAUACUCCCUAUUAUACACGAAUUGAUUUCUAGCGAGUGAUUAAAUUCCCGUACGGCAUAAGCUGCCUUAAGAAGACUCUUAGAUAUAUUGGAUAUUAGAUUCAUAAUAACUAUAAGCAAACUUGCACAUCGCAUCUUAUGCGAAUCUUAUGUGAAACUAAUUAGCUUCCUGUGUUCAAGAGCUCAAAUACAUUUAUUAUAGGCCAAUAUCUAUGGUUGCAAUGAAAUUUAGCUUUUGACCACUACCUGAGGAAGCUCAGUCAGAGACACUGACUCUAAUAGAGAAGCAAAUUACAAAAAGGGAAAACAAUUUGAUCAUAGGCACAUUAAUAUACUGUUGCAAGCAAGUGGACAACAAUGCUCCAAUUUUAAAGGAUGGCAACUAACCCAUAUUAAUUAUACCCUUUUUCCUCCACCCCCUCCAUUCUUUUUAACCCUUAUAACACCAUUAUAUACAUUAUCUGCCACCCUUAUUCACGUUAAUUAAUUUUUUUUAUCCAUUAUUUAAAGCCUAUUAGCUUCAUUAAAUCAAAUUUAAUAAGAAAGCACGAUUAAUUAAACGUGUAUAUAUUGGAACUAUUUUUUUUUCCACAAAAUAUUUUUAAUUUCCACAAAAUAUAUAUCGUUCACUCUCUCCCUCCCGCGAUUACAUUACAGGUGCUUUUGGUCCCUCUCUUUCUCUCUCUACCCUUCCCCUGUGUCUGUAUCUCCCUAGCAGACCCUUCGAUUUGAUCCAAUCCGAGAAGUCUAUGUGAAUCUUUCCGUAAUUUGGGGAAAUCUAGGGUUUUUGGUUUAGAUUUUUGUUUCCUUUUCUUGUCUUGUGUUGGUGAAUUGUUGAUUGGAGAUUGUUUUUAUGGUUGUUGAGUCGUUAGGGUUUGUGUGGGCUUGCGGAUCUGAGUAAGGUUUCCUGUUAAGUGGGCGUUUUUUUGGGGUAAAUUUCAAAGAUGUUUUGGCGUAUGACAGGGCUCUCCACGGCGUCGCCGGUGAGUGCUUUUUUUUUUUUGGCUCAUUUCUUGAAUCGUUGUUUCUUUCAUUUUUGAAUUCCUAUCACGUAUCUUUGAAUGCAUCUUCGUGUUCAUUUAGCUUUUUUGCUCCCUUAUUAUCGGAAUUUUUUCUUCUUGGUUGCUGGAAAGUGUGGGAAAAUAGAAGCAAAUCGACAUUUUGAAUUCUAGCUGGUUAUAGCGUCUCGGACCCAUCGUAGACUGAAACUUUGAUUCAUCAGUAUAACGUAUAGUGCCAAUUAUAAGAUUUCGAAUUUCCUUUUCUUUGAGGGAGGGAGCGUUGGGUGGGGAAGACAUUUCUAAUGUUCUUAUGGGCGGUUUUUAUAUCUUAAUAAUUGAAUUAUCUUUUUAAGACAAAGUUAUAGUGUUCUUUCACUGGAUUUGUUAAAAUGAAGAAGUGGCUGCUUUGACAGAUCAGCAUGGGCCAUGUUGUCUCCCUCAUCCAUGGUUCCUUGAACACCCAAUGUAAUAAUGGUAGUGAAAAAAAAUGCCAAAUCAACUUGAAAUUCCUUUUUGUCCAAUACACACACAAGCACAUGUUUUGGAAGUUGUUGGAAGAAAACUGUGUUUCUAGAAAUUGUUGACACUGUUAGCAGAAUAGCUGUCAUUAGAACUUUUGCUGAGAGGAUUACCCUGUUUGAACCCCUGGUUGGUUGGAAGAUGCUUCCUUGAAUUAUAUGAGUUUCCAGUUUUGCAAAUUAAUAACGUGAUAGUGUACUUGGGUAAUCAUGACUUUGAAAUUUGAAGGCAUUAUAAUCAGAAUAUUGGGGACUGUACCUUCUUAAAUCUUAAUUUCUUAGCUGUGUGCAUCUGUGGAUUGCAAAAUUAGCACGCUGAAAAGUAAACCUGCAUUAUCUCUCUGAUAACACCAUAUGAGAUAAGAUCUCUAUUGGGAGUCAUUGUCAUUUGUAAUUGAUCUGCUAACCAUAAUAUUCCAUCACUUUGCUGUUUAUACUUGAGUAUCACUUUUGGUUGCCUAUCCAUGUCGAACUUGGAUACAAUUGAUUUCCACCCCUAUCUUUUGAUGCGACAUUUCAUGUGUACCCAUGUUAAAAAGAAUAGACUGCUUAUUAUUUUAUCCACACACAUGGAAGUUAGACAUGUAGGUCUCCGGCAUUUUGAGUGUGCUUAUUAUUAUCUACUUUCAACAUCUUCCUCUGUGCCUUGUGUUGUUUAAUGUAUCUCUUCAGAUUGAUGUAAUAAUCAGCCUUCCUGGUGUCAACUCUAAAAAACUUGUUUAGUUUAAUGUCCUAUUUGUUACCCUGAAAUGCUUGAACCCCCUUCUUGCUUUCAACUGUGUAUUUUGGAUCCCUUAUUUUACUUUACCAUUAUGAAAUGUUGGUUUGGCUUUCGUAAUUUAUUUGAUUAUUCUCUAAUUUUGUGCACUAACCAUUUUAUGUUUGGAUGUGUUGUAUAAAUGCAAAGGUGAGUCUUAAAACUUUUGUUGGAUAAUUUUAUGAAAAUUUCAGGUGGAAACAAUUUUGGAUAAGGAAAACUUUACACUAGAGGAGCUUCUUGAUGAGGAUGAAAUUAUUCAAGAAUGCAAAGCUCUGAAUGGACGUCUUAUCAAUUUGUAAUGCUCUUUUUAUAGCUAAUUGCUCUGUGCUUCUCCUUGCUUUUUCUGUAAUUGUUCUUUUUAAGCAUUUUGUUAACUGAGGAGAUGUUGUAAUUUAUUUAUUGGAAUUAAUUUCAUCAUAUCAAUGGCAAUAUAUUUAAGGAUAUUCUUAUUUUCUUUUAUCCACAUACAACAUUGUUAUGGAGGCUGAUACGUAUUGGUUUCAAUGGUCAUAUUGAAGUAGGGGAAAAACGACUUUUCCCUAUUUUUAAUAGGUUUUGAAUCCCAAUCCUAUUCUAGUUAAUGACACAUUUUAGCUCAUUCCAAUUUAAAAGACCUUCAAGCCUUUUUCUGCAGGAAAAAAAAGAUGAUUAAGACUUAUAGAAUUUGUAUUUUUAGAUUAAGGAUGAUUUAAUAGCUGCAUAAACAAAACUGGAAGGAAUUUUACAUUUUUAUAGAUGAUACUCUUCAAACCCCAUUCUUUUUUAGAUCCUUGUUAGUGAUAAUUGACAAGUCUAUUCUCCUUGAUAUGGGCUUAAUCAAAAGAUUCAUUAGGCAAAUUAUGAUGAUAUUUAUUUGGGCUCAUAUAUUGUCAAAAGCUUUGCAUCUGUUCAGACAGCUUUGUUAUAAUAGGUUUGUCCUUUUUUGGUUUAGCAGAAUCAUGGAAGGAAUUGAAUCUGGAUUACAUGGAAAUAUGUAAUACUUCCUUCAAUAGUUUCCUUUGUUUUUCCCCAUUUCUUUUCAUGAUCCCUGUUUGUAAUAUCGUGUUUACACGGUUUUCUAUGUCCUCCACAAAAGGUUUUUAUAUCAGAUAUGGAACAAUGUAUUUGUCUGCUGAGUUGUUGCAUUGCUCACUUCCUCUGUUCACUACCUUGAUUAAAUAAUUGCAAAUACUUUUAGCAUUUUAAAUUUACCAGAGCCUACAAGGACUUUGGCCAGAAUACUUUUUUUUUUCAGGAUGUAAACUGUGAUGCAAUUAGUUCAGCAUGUAGCAUCUCCUCCAUGGUUUUAAAUAACGGCCGUUACAUAACGUAACGGCCGUUAUGUAACGGGUUUUGGGGGGGCUGUUACCCGUUAUCCCGUUAUAUAACGGCCCCUCCUGAUCCCCUCCUGAUUUGCAGGCGCAACGGCCGUUACGCAAUGGUAACGGCCGUUACCGACCGUUACGCAAUGGUAACAGCCGUUACCGACCGUUACGCAAUGGUAACAGCCGUUACCGACCGUUACGUAACGGUAACGGCCGUUACCAAUAAUUAAAAUUCUUUUAUAUCUUUUAUCUUUUGCUCCCUAUUCUCGUUUUUAUUAGUUUCUACACUUUUCAGCAACUUCAAAGACUAUAUUUUUUAAGUUUUCUCUUCCCUUUCUCUUUCAAAUUUCAAUCUUCCUUGCAUAUUUCUCAUAUAAACUUAGAUCCAUUAUAAACUACUCUAUUUCCAAGCUUAUUUCUUAUAAAAACUUAGUUAAAUUUUAUCUAUUUUAGUUUUUAAUUGUUGUUUUUUUUCCUUUUUUUUUUUGUAAGUUUUUGUGGAUUAAAGUGUUAGUUUUGAGUUAAAAUUGUAUUUUGAGCUAUUAGUUUACUCGAUUUAUAAAGAUUAUGUUGAUUUUUCUUAUUUUAAACUAUAUGAUGUUUAACUUAAGUUAAAUAAUCUAUAUUUUAUAUAUUUAUGUUUAUUAUGCAUUUGUAUACAUUAUUCUAAAUUAAAUCUAAUCAAUAUCAUUUUAUUUAUGAACUUUGCAAAUUUUUUAAAAAAAUUUGCGUAACGCCAGGCCGUUGCCGUUACCGUUACGUUACGGCCGUUAUAGGUCUUUUUCCAUUACCUGCGACCACGACCGCGAACGUAGCCGCGACCGCAAUUUAAAACCAUGAUCUCCUCUCCUUUCUCUUGGAUUUGUUGCUUAGUGCCUAUCCAUAUAGUGCGCAUUGCAAAUAUUUAACCAUUAGUUUUGGAUAGUGAGGUAUACAUAUGAGAGAUGUCUUUAAAAAUACGUUUAAUAUUGUUGUUGUGUAAUCUUUUGGCAUGAUGGUCAACAUAUACGUCUAUUGGCAAGUAUCAGUUUAUUGAUGCAUAGACUGGAAUCCUCAAGUCUUUUGUAUAUCCUCUGAAAUUGAAUCUUUAAUUCCUUACCAAGUCCAGUUCAUUUAGAUUCUCGAAACUUAUUUUUAUGUUGUCUUGCACUGCAGCUUGCGAGAAAGGACUCAAGUUGAACAAUUGAUUCGCUUUAUUGUGGAAGAAGCUCCUGAGGAUGCUGAAAAGAGGCGAUCUUUUAAGUAGGUUUCUAUGGAUAGCCAUGUUAACAUUUUGCAAUUAUUAUAAUAUAUCUGGAUGGUUCUCCCCCUCCUCUUGGAUGAUGGUGUUGUUGGGAUGGAUUAUGGUUGAUAUUGUUGUUUCGUUUUGUCCUUAGGUUUGCUUUCAUUGCAUGUGAGAUAUUUACUUGUGAGGUUGAUAUUCUACUCAAAACACUGGUGGAGGAUGAGGAGGUAUGAAGUGUCCCCCUCAAUACAGCUGCAUGAUCUACGUAAAAAUUUUCACCAGACUUACUUUUUCUUGUUCUGCAUCCAACAGUUAAUGAAUUUGUUAUUUUCCUUUUUGGAACCAAAAUGCUCGCACAGCACACUGUUGGCUGGGUACUUCAGUAAGGUAUGUCCUGAUGAACUUUGGAAGUUACAAAAUCGAUAAAACAAAACAGAGGAAUUUUCAAGCAUUGAUCUGGUUUUUUUUCCCUUUAUUUUGUGAAGAAGUAAUAUAUAUAUAUAUCACUUCAUUGGGAUUUUAUGUUCAAAUAUUUUGUUGCUAGGUUGUCAUAUGUCUAUUGUUGCGGAAGACAGUUUCUUUUAUGCUUUAUAUUAAGGUAAAGUAACCCUUUCUCACAUAAGGAAAAUUCUUACUUAUUAGAUGUAAUGCAUAUUAUUGUCACUUUAAGCAUUUUUCGGACAGAGAAACAACUACAAAAAGAUAAUUCUAAGGUUGUUAAGGAAUUGAAACCAAGUGUUUUAAUUCGAUUUCUCAUACAUUGCUUUCAUUGAUCCUUCUCACUAGUUUUUGAAUUCCUCUAUUUAUAGGUUACUUAAAAUUGCUUUUUUUUUAAAAAUUUUGGAAAUAAGUACGAAUCCACCACUAUACAUUUUACUAUGGGCCAAAUAAAUCAAUUUCAACUUUUUUGGGCCAAAUAGGCCGACAACUUUACAUUAUGGGCCAAAUAGGUCCCACCUCCAUAUUAAAAUACUAAUUUCUAAUAAUAAAAUAUAAUUUUGAUUAUUACUUGAAUAUAAUUGCCUCGUAUUAUCAUGAUUAUAUUUAUAUUUAUGCAUUUUCCUUUUCUAAAUUUUAUUAUUAUGUAUUUAAAAGAAUUGGUGAUUGUAUAUUAAAAUUCUAAAGAACCAUAAUAUUGGGUUAAUUGCUAUCAUAUCCUGCAUUUUGUCAAAACUAAUUACUUAGUCUUAAAAAAAUUUGAAAAUAUCUUUAUAUUUGUAAAAUUAAACCCUUUUUAGUCAUUUUUGUAAAAAGAAUACAUUAGUCCACAUGUUUUGAGGUUUUAUGAGAGGGACUAAAUAGUAUAGAUAGUUAAAAUUAUGUGACUAAGUAGUAUUGGUAGUUAAAAUACAAGAAAUAAUAGCAUAAAUUCAAGGCUAAAAAGUUUUUUUGUUUUUUGAUAGAAAGACUAAAGAGUGUGAUUUACAAACUACAUGGAUGUUCUAAUUAUGUUUUAGAAAAAUUAGGACUAAGCAAUUAAUUUUGUCAUAUACAAGGACUUCAUGGUUGUUUAGCUUAUGUUUUCUAAUAGCUCAAGUGGUACAAAUGCUUCUUUAUUUUAAGGAAAAACUCUUGCAAGAAGAAGCAGGUUGUAAGUUUGAUCUUUUUAUAAUGUCUGCAUGAGGGGAAAGUUGGAGGGAAGGAAAAUAAAUUAAGGAAAAUAAUUGAGAAUUGGCACAUUCUUUGAUUGGGAAGUGAGGAAAAAUAUGUAAGUAGAGAAAAUAAACUUUAUUUUACCUUUAUUAUUUUCUUUUCACUUCUUUUUCUUCCCAAACAGGGGAAAAUAAGGGUAUUUCCUUUUCCCUAUUUUUAUUUUCAACCAGUUCAAACAUGAUGAGAGAAAAUAAAGAGUGGAAAAUAAACUCUAUUGUCUUUUUGUUAUUUUACUCCCUCUCUCAUGAUUUAUCCAAACAAAGGGCUGGUAGUGGUAAUGUGGUAUAAUGCUAUGCUUCAUUUUUUUUUCCCCUUCCAUAAUGCUAUGCAUCUGAAAUUCAGUAAUAAUCAAUAGUUUGACUUCCCACAAAUUGAAAUUGUGGAGAUAAUACAUGAUAAAAUUAUGUGAUAUCAAGAGAAUUUCUUAUAAAAUCAAAUUAUAGUAUGAUAAAGUACGAGACUUGAGAUUUUCACAUAGAGAUGAUUCGAAAUAAUAUACAUUGGAUGAUAUUAAUGGCAUCACAAGAUUGAAGGCCAUGAUUGCAACAAAAUAAUAUAUAUUUGAAAUAAUGUCUUUAUGAUGGUGAGGGUGGUUCUUAAUCGUCAUGUUCAUUUAUACAAUUUUUUGGGGGUAUGAUCUCUUAAAUAUAUUGUAAUCUGUCAGUGUUAAAAGGUUAGAAUUAGUGGCAAUACACUGACAAAUUAGAACUACUAGUUUCUUUCUUCUCCUUUCAUUUGGAUGCUUGGAGGUUUUCCACGGAUGAGAAAUCAGGACCAUUAUGUUAUUUUUUUAGUCACAAUUAUUGCUUUUAUGUCUAAUUAUGCAAAAAAUAAAUUACUUGUGCAAUUAAUAACAAUUAUAAUUGAAAAUUCACUGCAACUGAAAUUGUUGCUUUUGGAAAUUUGCACCGUUCAUCAUAUGCUGUUGAUGAGAUCAAAUGUUCUGAACUUUAGAUGUCUGAUCCUGUAUGUUGAGUUGAAAAUAUUUGUUAAUAAGUCUAACCAAUUGCUUCCUUAUAUUAUUAUAAGGAAUAUUUAUAACUUUGGAUGAACAUGUCUCCAUUUAUGGAAUUAUAAAUUGGUGAUAAUAGAUGGUGGCCUUUGUUUCCAAUCAGCAGCAUUUUGAUUUUAAAAAAUAAUUAAAAAAGUUUAAUAAUGAUUUGAAAUUUGAUUUUUUCUAUUGAUUUUUGUUGGUUUUGAAACCACCCCCACCCCCCUGAGUAGUUUGGUAUGAGCUAAAAGAUCUUGGGGAGUUGAGCUUUUUGUCUCAAAGGGGUGCUGUGCCACUUAGUUUUCACAAUAUAUUAUAUUUUCAAAUGAUCUAUUGAUAAUUCUUAUUUCAUGCCGUUUUUAACUUAAUUUGCAGUUGAGGUAUUACUUCAGCUUUAUAUAUUAUUGAUGUGUUAAUAAUUUGUCUAGUGGCAGUGAAUCAAUUGUUUAACUUUGUUGAUGUUUCUAAACUGAUGUGCUGUCUUUGUGCUGCCUUCCAGGCUCAUCAGCAAAUUCUCCAGCAGCUAGUUGACUUGAUUGGGAUUACAUCUAUCAUGGAGGUUCAUAGUUACUUGUUUUUGCUUUUGAUAUUCCAAAUUAUUCCUUGGAUGUUUUGUUUUGCAGUAAACAUCUGCACUUGUUUCAUACAAUGUGCUCCUUUGCUCUCUUUUCCUUUUUAUGCUUGUAAAUUGCAUUUGUACGUGCACAUGUGUUUAUAAUUUUUGGUUUAAUAACGAUUAAAUCAAAUUGUAUCCUCCUUUGAGGUCAGAAUAGUACAUGGAACUUGUAAUCACCUUCUCACACUCACAGCCAAUACCAGAAAUACACAGGAUUUUGAAGGUUCUUCUUGGGAUAAUGUUACUUGUCCAACCAAAGAAGCAUAUCCAUUAACUGUAUUCCACUAUUGUACAGGUACUAAUACGUCUGAUUGGUGCUGAUGAGCAUAUGUAUAACAACUGUACGGAGGCAAUGCAGUGGAUAGAAGAAACAGAUGUGCUGGAGAUGAUUGUGGACAAGUUCAGCUCUUCUGUAAGUUACUGUAAAUCUCUGAGUGACAUUUGUUGGAUACAGGUUGAUUGGUGUCAAAACAAAUGCUUUUGGAAUUGAUUUUGAAGGAUUCCCAAGAGGUGCACGCAAAUGCAGCUGAAGCUCUCUGUACUAUGACACGAUUUGCUUCUCCUGGUCUUGCUGCCAAAAUCUCCAGCCCAAAGUAGCAUUUGCCUCUUACUCUUGUGUGGCAUAAACCUUUUCUUCCCCUGCUCCUGUCUCUUCUGUGGUCUGAUUGUCGAUAUAUGUCUGUGUGCCUCUCUGCAGUUUCAUUGGAAGAUUGUUUCGUCAUGCUUUGGAAGAAUCACGGCCAAAAUCUGUCCUUGUUAACUCGUUGUCUAUAUGCAUAUCCUUGUUAGACCCUAAAAGGCCAACCUUGGGGACAUAUCAUACAUUUAACCGCCAACUUAAUCAUGAGUCCACAGUAACUGCCAGUCCUGAGACAGUAGAAGGGAUGCUGAAGAGCUUAGGUAAGGUUCUCUUUUGAUGAUCUAAACUGCUGUUCCUCCUGCUUCCUUACUUUUUUGGUGUUUAAGGAAAAAAGAUGAGGCUGCUAACAUCAUGAAAAGAACUAAGUUUGGAAGGAAAUUUUCUUAAUUUCUAUCAUCAAUAUAACUUGGAUACUAUGAAGGCUGCCCGAAAGGCAAGCAAAAUUUACUGCAAAUAUUUGUCGCAAGUUUAUUGAGCUAGAUGAUUCUGGACAAAUAGUGUUAACCUACAAAGCGCAUGCAUACAAGCACUCAAACAAAUGAAAGGAAGAGUGGAUGUGAAUAUUAAUAAUCGGUUUUACUGUUGUUAGAAUCAUUGCCUCUCUGAAACUUUUCUGUAUUCCUCUUUACUUUCCAUAUUGCCUCUCUCUAAUUGACAAUCAUAUUACCGUUGGCUCAACCUGUGAAUUGCGAUAGAGGACUCUAUCUCUUUCAAUCCUCUCACCAUUAUCUCUCGCUUCUAUUCCAAAUGAACUGGAGCGUGUUCUAUUUAUGUGGUUUGGAGUAAUUUGAAUUCUCUACUAAGUACUUAGAAAUAUAUUUGAAUUUUUGGCAAUGGCUUCAAUAAUCACUUUAGUCAUUUUGGAAUAGAGACUCCCAUCUAGCUUGUGGACACUGGACAGUUGAAUUUGUUGAGAGUAAAAAAAGAUGGACUGGGGACUGCUAAACAAAAGGAAACAGAAGGAGAAAGAGAGUCAUCUAAUCAUUUUUUGCUGCAGUAUGUUGUGAACAUUUGUUAUAUUUCUGUUAACAGGAGAUCUUCUGAAGCUUUUGGAUGUUACAUCUACUGAAAUUGCCUUGUUGACUACAUAUGGGAAAUUGCAGCCGCCUCUGGGAAAGCACCGUUUGAAGGUAGUAUUUAUUUAUAUGUUUCUUAAAAGAACACUCUACUUAUCAUAAGCACAGGGUUCUUUAUGUUCUUUCAUUUGCUGUUUUCUAUCUUCACAUUUUAUCAUCUCAAAUGACUUAAACUCUUGACUAGUUGUUCUAUAGGCAAACUCUAUAUUAAGUUCCCCAUUGAUGAUUAACUGAAUCAACUUUUGCUGACCACUCCCUUAUUCAAUCCCGGCCAGAUUGUAGAAUUCAUUUCAGUGUUACUGACAGUUGGAAGUGAAGCUGCUGAGAAGGAAUUGAUUCGUCUUGGAGCAGUCCAAAGGAUUUUAGACUUGUUUUUUGAGUGAGUUUUAGGAUUCCUGAUAUGGUAGCAAGAUUGAUCAGAUCCUGGGUUUUAUUCAUUUGCUUUGUUCAACUGUAGGUACCCGUACAAUAAUUUUUUGCAUCACCACGUAGAGAACAUAAUAUUUUCAUGCUUAGAGAGCAAGAAUGCUAUUCUUAUUGGACAUGUUCUCCGUGAAUGUAAUCUGGUUGUAAAGAUACUUGAGGCAGAGAAGAAUUGUGCAUUGGUGGCUGACCCAGGCAAGGUAAUCUACUAGUCAACUAGAACUGUGUCAUUGUCCUUGUGAUGGUGUAUUGUUUAGUACCUUUGGGGGUUUAACUGCAUUUUGUAUGUUGUAUUAGUACUUAAAUUUAUGUUUGUUCGUUCUUAUACAGCCAACAAUUCCUGCUGAUGGUAGACCAUCACCGAGGAUAGGGAAUAUUGGACACUUGACACGCAUAUCCAACAAACUUGUUCAAUUGGGGAAUAACAACGGUGAUAUUCUGGCAUGCUUGCAGGUUUAUCCUAUUCUUUUGAUGUAAUGAAUUCAUGUGGAAUAACAUUGAUAUAUGGAAUAUGUAAGUCAGCUAAUGAAUUUAAACUGAUUUGCAUUGAUUAGUACAAUAAAAUUGAGUAAUUGCUUUUGUAAUUCAUUUCUUGCACAAGUUAAAUGUACUAUGCAUCAUCAAGGGCAUUAGAAUUUUUUUGGUCUAUUUGGCUCCAUUCACCUCCACUUUUAGUUGUUCCUGUUGUUACAUGAUUUAGAUUACUAAUAGUUUGUCAAAUCUUAUCUUUCCUCCGAUGGGCAUGAACACUUGUUUUCUCUGUAGCUUUAAAGUACGCCAAUUGAGCAUGCAUGCAGAAGAGAUAAAAAUUAUAUUUGCUUGUUCCCACCAUUUAAAGUUGUUUAAUCCUAUUUUCUCUUGGCAGGAAAAUAGUGAAUGGACUGAUUGGCAUGCAAAUGUCUUAACAAAGCGUAAUGCAGUUGAAAAUGUCUAUCAGUGGGCCUGCGGGUGAGUAUUUUAUGCAGAUGAUUUUCUUUUUUAUUCUCAUUUUCAGAAUUGGUUGCAAUUGUAUCUCAAAGAAGAAAAAAUGUCCCAAUAGGGAAAGGAGAGGGGGAUAACGUAUUUUUUAGAAAAGGCUUUUUCUCAUGUGAUUAUCCUCAGCAACCUUGGUAGUUUCCCAAAGGCAGGUUGAUGCCAUUUCAAAUAAUAUGUGUGCUAGUGUGUGUCUGCAUGUGCAAGUUUUUCUUACCGUCCAUUUCUCACCUGUCUUAAGUUGUGGUUGUAUCAAUUGUGGCAGUUCUUUCUUCCUUUGAAUGUGUCUGUAGUCUGUGUGCAGCUUUUGUUGUUUGGUUUUGGGCUUUAGCUUUUCUCUGUGGAUUACUUAUUUUAAGAUGGGAAAAAAAAACAGGAGGCCGACUGCUCUACAAGACCGGAGAGAUAGUGAUGAUGAUGAUUACCAAGAUAGAGAUUAUGACGUUGCAGCCCUAGCUAAUAAUUUAAGCCAGGCAUUUCGAUAUGGCAUGUAUAGCAAUGAUGACAUUGAUGAGGUAUGUUUUAUAGCAUUUGAAGUGCAUUUACAUUUUUUUUUUUCUGUUCUUUACUUUAUAAGCUAAUAAAUUUUGUAACUAGGAACUGUACAAAUGUGGGAGAAGCUGGUUACCCCCUAGAAUCUAGGGAAAACUACUAAUUAUUGAGGUAGUCACAUUCUAAUAUGCUAGUUUUGUAGUUGUACUUGUGGAUCCAUACAGGCUAGGUUGACUGGAAUUGAGCAUUUAUUUUGACCGACCUUUGAAUCCAAUUGAAGCUAAAACAGAUGGCACAUUUCUAUCUGCAUAUUUAGUUGUAUAUGCUAGGAAGUAUAAAUGUGUGUUUAAAAUGAGCCACUUGUUAGAGAGAUUUACAAGGAUGAGUCUUCCAAUAUAACAUAGAAGAAUCCAACUAAUUAACUAAAUAUUCCCUCCAAGUUUGGAGUAGCUGCAGUAAUUUCUUACUUUUGUAACUUGGAAGGGUUAUUUUUUAUAAUUUAUUUAAAAAAUAUUUGCUAUUCUAGCUAUGAUCAAAUUUUCCUAGAAACAAAGGCCAAAUGCCAUAGAACUAUUGGGCAUUGUCCAAUUAGGCCAAAGGUUUUAUCUCAAUAUUUGGUCUAAUAAGGACCUCUUUUACUGUUAUCUUAGUGCAGCUUCUGACAAGCUCACUAGUAUUAAUUGCGGGUGCCAGAAAUUAAAAGCAAAUUGUAAUAGUUAAUUGUCUUCAAGCUGCUAUAAAAGGAAAUUGGUUACCUUAUUCUUGCCUUUGGCAUGUCCUGGCACCUGGGCCACUAAAGAAUGAGGAUUCUAGGAUUGAGGGUGAUAUUUGAUAUUCUUCACUAAUCUCAAUCCAUUCUAAUGGAACUGAAGAAAUGAAAGUGAGAUUGUAGGAGCUAAAAAGAUGACAUUAUAUCGAGCUUUAUGGUCUUGACAAAGCAGCUUAUUAUAAAUGUUAGGGUGAGACUCAGUUUUGAUAAGGUGGGUGCUGAUUUGGCAUUGAACACAAAUUCUUGGCAAGGCAGGGUUUUUUCAAAUGCUGGAAUCAAAGUGGAGUUAAGUUGAAUUGCAUAAACUUGGUAACAAUUAAGUAACCAUAUGACAUAAAAGUGAUUAUGUAGAAAUGUUAGUACCAAGAAAGGAAAUUUUAGAUGUAAGACUUCUAUGCAAUAAGACGAGUAUGAAAAGUAAAGGGUUAACAAGAACCGGUUCAGCUUGAAGAUUAUAUUGGGCAACAAACUUGGAGGCUUUAAUUUGUAGUAACCCAGAGAGAGAAACAAAAGGCCCUAGGAAUUUGCACAAAAUAAAUGAGAUCCAGUUGAUGUUGGAAGUAAUACAUUCUAAAACAUCUGUGCAUAUGGCACAAUUACAAAAAGACACCUUUUGAGAGAGAAAUUAAAGAGGGAAAAAGAUGGGAGGCAACAAGAGCAUAAGCAGCUGUUCACUGAUUUUAUUGGUUCAUUUGAAAGAGGAAGGAAAUAGAUAUUGCUAUCAGAGGGAUGUGUUUCGAACUAAUAUAAUGGUGAGGUAAAAUGUUGAGAUAUGGGGUUUCUGCUAGGGUUGCAAUUUAUGAAGACUUUCGGAACCAUUUUCAUAAUCUAGAAUAUGUGCGAAGGUUGCCCACUAUUCCUUUAUAGUAUGUCCCAAAGUUUCAAAGUUUUUAGAGUGGGUUUUGUAUCCUAUCCUUAUCAAUUGUAACUUUUUAUAUUUUCAAGUAAAGCAACUCUAAAGAAAGAGAAUGAUGACAACCUUUCUAGGAAACAUCGAGGGGCAUGAAUGGAAGAAUGAAAGGAGAACUGUGUGUUUGCGUAGUAUUAUGUUUUCUUAAGCUUUGAGAAAAUGAAGGUGACAACCUUGCUUGGACAGAUUUACUUCCUCAAUCUUUCUCUAGCUGUACUGUGUAUAUGUCAAAAUUUGGGGCAGAAACAACUGCAGAAUAGAAGUUUGUGGACCUAAUUGGACCUGGACAUAUGCUUCCAAGGCCAAAUAUCUUUGUGUUAGUUGCUCCUGUUUUAAAUUGGUUUUGGGAACAAUUUUUAAAAUUUAUCUUUUACAAGUUAUACUAUGUUAAAACUAUAGCUUUCCUGUGUUGAAAAGUAUACUCGGCAUUCAUGUUUGAUCAUCUCCUGCCCAUCAUAUUGAAGAUACACAAACACGUCUAGAUUUUUGUUACUAGUUGUAAAUGACAAACUCAUAGAGAUAUGAAUACAGAGCUUGUCCUGUUCAGUAAGCACCGUUAAGAUUUGAGCUUUCUAUUUGCAAAUGGUGCAGGCAUGCAUAAGUUGUUGUUGCCCUUAUUGCUUUGCUUUCUUAUUCAUUCACUGCAGGUGCAUGGAUCACUUGAACGAGAUGAUGAGGUAAUGUACUUUCUAGAGAAUCAAUUGCAUGAAUUGGAGACUUAUCACGAUCACACACGGCUGAAGGGAUUAGUUCACCCUUUGGACAGGGCGUUUUUUUGUCUUGAAGUAACUGUGGUUUAGUUCAAAGGCUAAUGAAAAAAAGUGAUGCAUUUUUAUGUUUUUCUUCAUUUGUUUCUAUACUUUAAUUUGUCGGUUUACCUCGAUUUUCAAAUUUACCUUCAAUUUUAUCUAGUUGACCCAAAUUGGUUAAAAUUGAAAUAAGAGAGUAUAUUUUAGUAUUGUUAGGUUGAGGUAAUGUAGUUAUGGUUAUGGAGCGGUGCUGGCAGGUGGAGAGGUGGUGAUGCUGAGGUUGAGGUGAUACAGUCGUGGCUGGUUGAGUGUAAGGGACAGAGCUCAUCUUUGACAUACAAUCACGUAGGCAAAGAAAAAGAAAUUGAAGAAUGCUGAGUGAGAAUAAUAAUAGUAGUAAGAUUAAUGAGCAGUGCACUCUAGUUUGGGAGGAGAGGGGCGUGCAUGGGUGCAGCGAAAGAGAGGAGAGGUGGAGAAGGGAGAGAGGGAAGGUAAAUUUCCAUAGAGAGAGGAGAAGAUUUCAGAUUCUUUUUUUCUAAAUCAAAUUAAUAGUCAUAUAAACCAUUCGUUUUAGGUUAGUCCAAAAUAAAGUAAAAAAAAAAAUAAAUCAAAUUAAUGAUCCCAUUUGUUUUAGGUUUGACCACUUCUGGUCCAACAUACCAUUGAAGCUAAGUUUUGAAACCAGGUUAAACAUAACAAAAUUGAAGUUUGGAUAGAAUUGAAACACUGUGCUCUCUCUCUCUCCCCCCCUGUGGCGCUACCUAUAUUAUUUUUAUUUAUGCCUCAAUUGAUCAUCCAUAGCAUCAUUUAUUGGCACCAUAUCCAACUUCAUCGUUGGGGCUAACCACGAACAUGUGUUUAUUAUUCUUAAAAAUUAAAGAGAAGAAAUAUUUUUAAGAAAAUUUGAUGCUCAUGUCUCAACUAGACUUGAUUUCAUUGUGGCAGCCUUACUUGCCCUUUUCCACAUCUUUUACCUUUGCAUUUGAGCAUGUGCUGUUGCAGGCAAUAAUUAACAUGUCUAAGGUUUCUCUGUGAUAUAUUUGGCAGGAUGUCUAUUUUGAUGAUGAAUCUGCUGAAGUAGUUAUUUCUUCUCUGCGUUUGGGAGAUGACCAGGAGAGGCAAGCCCUUAUUCUUCCUUUAUGAUGUUCUAUUGGAAUUUGAAUUUUUGGUAGGGGAGCUUCUAUGUUUAUUCUGGCUCAGUGUUGAUUUUUGUUUGUCAUUAUCUGUUGUUUGUUUCUCGCAUAUUCCCCUGCCUUUAUGUAUAGACCAACUUAUUGAUGCAGAUAUCUCCCAUCUAUAGGCCUAAGGUAAGGAGAUUUUUGUAGCGGUCAUGGUUUUUAACAAAAAAGUACUUGACCAGCCAAUGAAUAAAUUAGCUUCUUUGAUCAAUGUAAGAGUCUUCAUUCUAUCUCUUAUUUUUUGGCAGAGAAGUAUGAAGCGAAAUUAAGUUUUGGAUAGUGAUGUACAUUAAGUUUGCCGUUUUGAAGAAUUUGUUAAACUGAAUUAUUACUUCCUGAGUGUGUUUGCCAUUUGCUUGUUCCUAAUGUGAUACUCGUAGGAUGAGAAGAAUCUUUGGAAUUUAUGAUUUGUGGUUUAAAGAAUUGUGAUGAUGGCAGUUUGAAUCACUGAUUUACAUGAUACUUAUUGCUUGAUCCAUCUGUGGUGCUUGCAGUGGCUCCCUUUUUACCAAUUCCAACUGGUUUGCUUUUGAGGAUGACAGAAUUGCCAAUGAACGCUCUGCAGGAGCACUUGCUUCUUCUUCGCCUAAUAAUGGAGAAACUGGUGGUGUUAAUGGCGCAGGCAAUGAUGAGACUAUGGUAGGAGAAGGUGACGACUUGGAUGACACUGCAUCAUCUUCUCCUUUGCCUGAUCCGAGUAUAGAUGAUAUGUCAGUGAACAAUUCAUCUAAAGAUGUAGAAGAAACCAUUGCAAAUGAUAAACCACCUGUAUGGGUUGAAUGGAGGGAGACACCAGAUUCCAAUCCUUCCAAUUCCAAAGUAUCUCUCAUGCCAAAUGGUGAGCUUCAAUUGGAUUCAGAGAUUCAGGGUGGCGGUGGUCCUCAUGCUGCUAAGCCUGUAUCUUCCUUAGAUGC
rnacentral:lncRNA from 1 species